CGUAGGGUGCGAGCGUUAAUCGGAAUUACUGGGCGUAAAGCGUGCGCAGGCGGUUUUGUAAGACAGAUGUGAAAUCCCCGGGCUCAACCUGGGACCUGCAUUUGUGACUGCAAGGCUAGAGUACGGUAGAGGGGGAUGGAAUUCCGCGUGUAGCAGUGAAAUGCGUAGAUAUGCGGAGGAACACCGAUGGCGAAGGCAAUCCCCUGGACCUGUACUGACGCUCAUGCACGAAAGCGUGGGGAGCAAACAGGAUUAGAUAUCCUGGUAGUCCACGCCCUAAACGAUGUCAACUGGUUGUUGGGUCUUUACUGACUCAGUAACGAAGCUAACGCGUGAAGUUGACCGCCUGGGGAGUACGGCCGCAAGGUUG
rnacentral:rRNA from 1 species